GAUGAACGCUGGCGGCGUGCCUAAUACAUGCAAGUAGAACGCUGAAGGAAGGAGCUUGCUCUUUCCGGAUGAGUUGCGAACGGGUGAGUAACGCGUAGGUAACCUGCCUGGUAGCGGGGGAUAACUAUUGGAAACGAUAGCUAAUACCGCAUAACAGUAGAUGUUGCAUGAUAUCUACUUAAAAGGUGCAAUUGCACCACUACCAGAUGGACCUGCGUUGUAUUAGCUAGUUGGUGAGGUAACGGCCCACCAAGGCGACGAUACAUAGCCGACCUGAGAGGGUGAUCGGCCACACUGGGAAUGAGACACGGCCCCGACUCCUACGGGGGGCAGCAGUAGGGAAUCCUCGGCAAUGGACGGAAGGCUUGACGAGCAAAGCCGCGUGAGUGAAGGAGGUUUUCGGAUCGUAAAGAUCUGUUGUAAGAGAAGAACGAGUGUGGGAGUGGAAAGUUCACACUGUGACGGUAUCUAACCAGAAAGGGACGGCUAACUACGUG
rnacentral:rRNA from 1 species